rnacentral:rRNA from 1 species
CCUACGGGGCGCAGCAGUGAGGAAUAUUGGUCAAUGGACGCAAGUCUGAACCAGCCAUGCCGCGUGCAGGAAGACGGCUCUAUGAGUUGUAAACUGCUUUUGUACGAGGGUAAACGCAGAUACGCGUAUCUGUCUGAACGUAUCGUACGAAUAAGGAUCGGCUAACUCCGUGCCAGCAGCCGUGGUAAUACGGAGGAUUCAAGCGUUAUCCGGAUUUAUUGGGUUUAAAGGGUGCGUAGGCGGGCGGAUAAGUUAGAGGUGAAAGCCCGAGGCUUAACUUCGGAAUUGCCUGUGAUACUGUUGGGCUAGAGAGUAGUUGCGGUAGGCGGAAUGUAUGGUGUAGCGGUGAAAUGCUUAGAGAUCAUACGGAACACCGGUUGCGAAGGCAGCUUACCAGGCUACUUCUGACGUUGAGGCACGAAAGCGUGGGGAGCAAACAGGAUUAGAUACCCCGGUAGUC